AUUGAACGCUGGCGGCAGGCCUAACACAUGCAAGUCGAACGGUAACAGGAAGCAGCUUGCUGCUUCGCUGACGAGUGGCGGACGGGUGAGUAAUGUCUGGGAAACUGCCUGAUGGAGGGGGAUAACUACUGGAAACGGUAGCUAAUACCGCAUAACGUCGCAAGACCAAAGAGGGGGACCUUCGGGCCUCUUGCCAUCGGAUGUGCCCAGAUGGGAUUAGCUAGUAGGUGGGGUAACGGCUCACCUAGGCGACGAUCCCUGGCUGGUCUGAGAGGAUGACCAGCCACACUGGAACUGAGACACGGUCCAGACUCCUACGGGAGGCAGCAGUGGGGAAUAUUGCACAAUGGGCGCAAGCCUGAUGCAGCCAUGCCGCGUGUAUGAAGAAGGCCUUCGGGUUGUAAAGUACUUUCAGCGGGGAGGAAGGGAGUAAAGUUAAUACCUUUGCUCAUUGACGUUACCCGCAGAAGAAGCACCGGCUAACUCCGUGCCAGCAGCCGCGGUAAUACGGAGGGUGCAAGCGUUAAUCGGAAUUACUGGGCGUAAAGCGCACGCAGGCGGUUUGUUAAGUCAGAUGUGAAAUCCCCGGGCUCAACCUGGGAACUGCAUCUGAUACUGGCAAGCUUGAGUCUCGUAGAGGGGGGUAGAAUUCCUAGGUGUAGCGGUGAAAUGCGUAGAGAUCUGGAGGAACACCAGU
rnacentral:rRNA from 1 species